AUGUGGCCAGUGUCACCCAAUCCUAGGCCAGUGCCUCCCGAAUAUGUUAGGUUGCCAGGAAGGCCUAAAAACAAUGAUAGGAGAAGAGAGGAAACUGAGCAACCUAAGGGGAAGAAAAUGAGCAAGCAUGGCACAAUUAUCAAAUGCUCCUUGUGUGGUAACCCUGGACACAACAAAUCAGGAUGUAAGCAGAAUCCAGAGAGAGGCAAGAAAAAAAAUGCUCAUCUUGCUAGAACUAGCAAGAAAAAGAACCCAACUGAGGUAUUUGUUGCUGUCAUGUACUUAUCUAUUGCAUAUUUAUCCUGCUUAUUACUCUUGUGUUGGAACUUAUUGCAUAUUUAUCCUUAA
rnacentral:rRNA from 1 species